GCUCAGCAGACAUUUCACCUGCCACGUCCUCAGUAAACUUCUCCAGGUAAGGCCAUACAUCAAACCUAGAUAUCCAUUUAUGAAGGAUUCCAUUUUCUGUCCUAAAAGGGACACGUAAAAUAUGCGAGUAUUCAGUUCCACUAAUUCUCUCCAACCGCUGGUUGCACGUGGUUCCUUUAGCAUCAGGUAUCAGUCGGGUGACAUGUACUCACAACAAGGAUUCUAGGCUUGAAGUUGAGUCCUUGUUGCUUUAUUCUAAGAAGCAUUUCGGCCUCCAAAGCACGCACUUGAUCCAGUAUAUAGACAACCUGUCCACCAGUGUCCG
rnacentral:misc_RNA from 1 species